GGGGGGGGGGGGCAGCCUGAUCCAGCAAUGCCGCGUGUGUGAAGAAGGCCUUCGGGUUGUAAAGCACUUUUGUCCGGAAAGAAAACGUUCUGGUUAAUACCUGGGGCGGAUGACGGUACCGGAAGAAUAAGCACCGGCUAACUACGUGCCAGCAGCCGCGGUAAUACGUAGGGUGCGAGCGUUAAUCGGAAUUACUGGGCGUAAAGCGUGCGCAGGCGGUUUUGUAAGACAGGCGUGAAAUCCCCGAGCUCAACUUGGGAAUUGCGCUUGUGACUGCAAGGCUAGAGUAUGUCAGAGGGGGGUAGAAUUCCACGUGUAGCAGUGAAAUGCGUAGAGAUGUGGAGGAAUACCGAUGGCGAAGGCAGCCCCCUGGGACGUCACUGACGCUCAUGCACGAAAGCGUGGGGAGCAAACAGGAUUAGAUACCCUGGUAGUCCACGCCCUAAACGAUGUCAACUAGUUGUUGGGGAUUCAUUUCUUCAGUAACGUAGCUAACGCGUGAAGUUGACCGCCUGGGGAGUACGGUCGCAAGAUUAAAACUCAAGAAAUUUUUGACGGA
rnacentral:rRNA from 1 species